CUCCAACAUUACCAUAUAAACUUGGCCACAUGGUUCUGAUCACUGGCACAAAUGCGCUGGAGACACACCUCUGCAAAAAGAUAAGGGCUGGAUAGUGCUGGAAGAAGACAGACAGACACUGUUUCAAUCUGGAUAAACAAGUGCAGAUGCAGAUAUUCAGAUUUCACCAUGAAGGCUGGGCAUAAUAAUUAAAGGAAAUAUGCAUGACAGUGCAAAUGUACCAAUGUUCUUCUUAGAUUUUACCUUCAUC